GAGGGGGGAGGCAGCUUGCAUGGGACCGCGGAUCCUGUUCGUGCAUUUUCCCUUUCAAUUGAGUUUUUUAUGAAAUUUCACGGAAUUUCGUAGAAAACUCGAUUGAAAGGGUGAAUGCAUGAACAGGAUCCGAGGUCCCAUGCUAGCUUCCCCCCAAAA